CAUCUUCCCGCCAUCAGCGGUCACGGUCCAUUUCCGCUGCACAAACGCUCGCGGAUGUUUUCCUGAUUAAAGCGGCAGAUAGAGCGAGUGUGGGCGGGAUGAGCGGAGUCAAGUGCAGCCUGUCACUGAUGAUGCGGGGAUAUUUUUGGCGAGGAGAAUGUCCUGCUUUGCUUUAGUCAUCUGCCGUCCACAAGCUAAACAAUAACACGCACUCUAAAGACAUCGGGGCAGAUGUCCCUGUGGAUGAAGAGUACAUUUUAAAUGUUUGCUGUUCUGCAAGAUGAAAAGAAACACCAAACAAUCAUCAGUGCUUUGAAACUCUUCCCGUCUCAUGCACUUCAUGGGUCUUCGCUGUCAGCCACGUCCACUGUGAUCAGACGUCAAAGACUGAAGCCAUUGCGGCUGAUGACCUUGAAGACUAUCUAGCAGAGACUCCUCUCCAUCUGCAAAUGUUUGGCAAGCAGCAAAGGAGCACUCGGAUCAGGAGACUUGGAGCAACUACAAACAUUCCUGGGCUGUCUGGCAUUGAAUUUUCCUCCUUGAACGAAAGCCCUGUAAUGCCUUCCGUUCACCAGAAUUAAGCUUUUCCUACAAAAGCCAUCCCAUGUUAUCCAACAAUAACGCCACAACAUGCUCAUUUUGAUAGUAGAAAUGAAGGCAUAUGUAAAUACUUAGCUGGCAUGUCUAGGAUAUGACAUAGUAUUAUAGCAUUAGGUAAACUCUGAGGCUGGGUAAAGGGUUCUGCUGCUUUGAUGAACCCAGAACAGAGAGAGUGACUGAGCCGCAGAGUUAUUUCUGCUGAUUGCUUUGAUCUAAAACGUGUAAAUCACUUCUGGAUGAUCCCAAAGCCCAAUGUGCUACUAUUCAACUUGUCGGGGUUUGAUUUCAUUUGCAUGGAUUUUCAAAGCCUCUCUCUAGGCACUGAUCUAUGUUGCGAUGGAGGAAAUCAUUACGUUUGCAUUACACAACGUUAUUCAUUACAAUUGUGUCCUUACAUUGUAACCCUAACAAACGUACCUUAUAUUUCCAUUUGGCCUCCGUCUUGUUCUUAUUAUGCUCUCGAAUCAUCUCAAACUUUGCAACGUCAUUCGGUUUACUCGUCUCUUUCUCCAAAAUACUCAUCC